CCUACGGGAGGCAGCAGUGGGGAAUAUUGGGCAAUGGGCGCAAGCCUGACCCAGCAACGCCGCGUGAAGGAAGAAGGCUUUCGGGUUGUAAACUUCAUUUAUCAGGGACGAAGCAAGUGACGGUACCUGAUGAAUAAGCCACGGCUAACUACGUGCCAGCAGCCGCGGUAAUACGUAGGUGGCAAGCGUUAUCCGGAUUUACUGGGUGUAAAGGGCGUGUAGGCGGGAGUGCAAGUCAGAUGUGAAAACUAUGGGCUCAACCCAUAGCCUGCAUUUGAAACUGUACUUCUUGAGUGCUGGAGAGGCAAUCGGAAUUCCGUGUGUAGCGGUGAAAUGCGUAGAUAUUAGGAGGAACACCAGUGGCGAAGGCGGUCUGCUGGACAGCAACUGACGCUGAGGCGCGAAAGCGUGGGGAGCAAACAGGAUUAGAUACCCCUGUAGUC
rnacentral:rRNA from 1 species